rnacentral:lncRNA from 1 species
GACUUUUUGAUCGUAGAAGAAAAUAGACAGAAAGGAGAAGCGAGCUUGCAAGGUGUUUAGAGGAUAAGAGAUCUUCAAGAUUGGAAGAGAUUGAAGAUCAACCUUCAUCAACAAUAAAUUGUAAUGUCUCUGAUUUGUAAUUUACUGUCUUUGAAUAUUAUGAGAAGCUAAAACCUCCAAUGCUAAGGGGUGUCCCUGAAUUGCUACUGUAUGAAUACUUUUUCUAUGUUUUUAUGAUCAUCGAUGUUUUCUUCAUUCAAAU